rnacentral:lncRNA from 1 species
CCAGGGCAUAAACUUUGCGCAUGUCUAUAGGAGAAUUUCUAGACUGGGUUCCUUACGUAGGAAGCUCUGCCUUCAGUGUGGGCAUCGUAAGCCUGGGAUGGUAAGGCUGGGGUUUCAGACCAAAACAAAAGGAGCAAGCAAGAUGAACACCUGCAUCCGUCCCUUUCUGCUUCCUAUGGAUCUGUGGAUGCCAUGUGAUCAGGUAGGUGAUCCAUAUUCCAGCUGCCAUGCCUGCCCAGCCAUGAUGGUGGGGCUAGAGAGAUGGAUGGUCAGUUAGGAGCACUUGUGGCUUUUGCAGAAGAACCAGGUUUGGUUCCCAGCACCCACAUGCCAGCUCACGUUUGCUUGUCCCUCUUGAACAAUAGGAAUUCUGUUGUGUCCUAACAGUCCUAGGUCAAAAUCCUUUUAUGACCUGGCUUGCUAAAUACAUGAUCAGUCAUUAGUUAGACUGAUGUGAUGGUAAGAGAUAGACUGAAAUGCAUCUGGUAGUGUCCCCUGAAAGGCAGAAGAAAAAUCUGGAUUGGGUGUCUAGAUGAGCUCUCAAUGUCUUGCCUACUUGAACCAGUCAAAGGAGUCAGGGAUUUAUGGUUCCCCACCCAUUCUCCACAACAGAUUCGCCUGCAGGUAAGGCCACACCCUUUCGUUGUCUCUCUGCCAUGCUGAGUGAGGUGUUUUCAAACCAGCUCUGGGGCUGUAACCUCCACUUUUAGACAGAAGGACAGACAAUAACACAGCCAGUAAAAUCCUCAUCAAAAACCAGGCAAUAAUGAGAAGGUAAAAAUCCUUUUGUGUCUCAGGGUUUCAUUUUCAUUACAAUCUAGAAUCAAGUGCAGCCCCAACCACUGGAACCACUGGAUUCUGUCAGUCCCUGUAACAAUGGUUCAUCAUCACACUAUUGGAUAAACACAUGUGGGAGGCCUUUAGGUGUCUCUCCUUUCUUGUACAGACUGUAGUAAUAAGCUUUGUUUGCACAGGCAGGCAAAGGGACCCCCCUCCUCCUCCUCCAUUUAUAUUCCCCAAAUUCACACAUUAACACGCUAUAUACAAUUGUGCCAAUCUGUCAUCCCAACUGCGAACUCUUAAUUUAUUUUUAUUUUAAGUGUGUGUGUGUGUGUGUGUGUGUGUGUGUGUGUUGGUCUCUCUGUGUGUGUAGAUGACAGCAGGCACCUUUGAAGGCCAGAAGAGUUAAGAAGUUGCAAGUGGUUGUGGACACGGUUCUCUAGAAAAACAGUAUUUGCUCUUGACCAUGGAACCAUCUCUUUAAGCCUUAGUUACCAUAUUUUGUUUGAUGCUGGAGAUUGAACCCUUGGCCUUGGCAUGCUAAACAAAUUCUCUACUACUGCCCUGUGCUCACAGCUACUGAACGAUGCUCGCAGCUACUGAACUGUGCUCACAGCUAUUGAACUAUGCUCAUAGCUACUGAACUAUGCUCACAGCUACUACCCUGUGCUCAUAGCUACUGAACUAUGCUCACAGCUACUACCCUGUGCUCAUAGCUACUGAACUAUGCUCACGGCCACUGAGCUGUGCUCACGGCUCCAGAAUACCUUUUGACACACUCUAGUCAAACCAGGUUUGUUGUGUGUUUUUGUUUGAUUUGGAGACAGAGUCUCAUAUCUUUGAGGCUCCCCUCAACCAUAUGGUAUAGCCAAGGAUGGUCUUGGGCUAUUGAUAUUCCUGCCUCCACUUCCCAUAUUCUGGGAUCACAGGUAGGCAGCACCAUGCUUGCUUUAUGCAGUGUUAGGGAGCAAACCCAGGACCUGUGGAAGCUAGGAUAGUAUUCUUACCAACUGAGCUGCACACCCAUCUCUAAGCUAGUUCUUUGGCCCAUGAAAUGCUAAUGCAGUCUUUUCCAUUACACUAGCUUGAGUAAUAUAAAAAAAUGUACAUAAAACCAGUUCAUAGUUCAAAUGCCAGUUCAUGGGAGGGAACAAUUCCCAACAGUGUUAUCUAGAUGUUUCUCAAGUUCCCUGGGUUGAGGUCACUCUUUGUAGUUUGUGUUGGGCUCCUGACCCAAACACAGCCCCUGCCAGUUAUGAGUAACAAAAAGGCCAGUUUUCCAUAGUUUGGACAAAAGCAACCGUGGGAAUAUGCACAGUUUUCUCCAGUUGUGGUAAAAUCGGGGAAAAGCCAACCCAGCUAGGCUGCCCUGCGUACUUGCGUGGGAAACAGGGACAGAUGAGGACUGUCAACUAAGAGGAAACCAAACAUAAGGAAACAGGUUCAUUCUGAAAGGCUUGGCUGUGCCUGGCCAGCUUUUCACUGGAGCAGAGGGAAGCACUCAUCUGUGGGGAAGAAAACUCUCUCUUCAGCUAUUCACUGAGUAACACUGAAGCAACCUUGAACACCUUAAGCUAAUGUAAGGGGGAAAAAACAGGGACUCAGUCC